AUCAACUUUCGAUGGUAGGAUAGAGGCCUACCAUGGUGGUAACGGGUAACGGGGUGUUAGGGCACGACACCGGAGAGGGAGCCUGAGAAACGGCUACCACAUCCAAGGAUGGCAGCAGGCGCGCAAAUUACCCAAUCCCGACACGGGGAGGUAGUGACAAUAAAUAACAAUACGGGGUUCUUUCGGAUCUCGUAAUUGGAAUGAGUACAAUUUAAAUCUCUUAACGAGGAACAAUUGGAGGGCAAGUCUGGUGCCAGCAGCCGCGGUAAUUCCAGCUCCAAUAGCGUAUAUUAAAGUUGUUGCAGUUAAAAAGCUCGUAGUUGAAUUUCGGGGUUAGUAGGCUGGUCAUGCCACCGGUAUGUACUGGUCUUACUGAUUCCUCCUUCCUGAUGAACUGUAAUGCCAUUAAUUUGGUGUUGCAGGGAAUCUGGACUGUUACUUUGAAAAAAUUAGAGUGUUUAAAGCAGGCUAACGCUUGAAUACAUUAGCAUGGAAUAAUGAAAUAGGACGUUCGGUCUUAUUUUGUUGGUUUCUAAGAUUGACGUAAUGAUUAAUAGGGAUAGUUGGGGGCAUUAGUAUUCAAUUGUCAGAGGUGAAAUUCUUGGAUUUAUUGAAGACUAACUACUGCGAAAGCAUUUGCCAAGGAUGUUUUCAUUAAUCAAGAACGAAAGUUAGGGGAUCGAAGACGAUCAGAUACCGUCGUAGUCUUAACCAUAAACUAUGCCGACUAGGGAUCGGAUGAUGUUAAUUUUUUAAUGACUCAUUCGGCGCCUUACGGGAAACCAAAGUGUUUGGGUUC
rnacentral:rRNA from 1 species